rnacentral:rRNA from 1 species
GUCUGUAUGAAGUUAUAUAAAGUCUAGCCUGCCCAAUGAAUUUUGUUUAAAAGGCCGCAGUAAUUUGACUGUGCAAAGGUAGCAUAAUAAUUAGUUUUUUAAUUGAAGGCUUGUAUGAAUGGUUGGACAAAGAAAAAUCUGUCUUUUAUAUUAUCUUUGAAUUUUACAUUUAAGUGAAAAGGCUUAAAUAAAUUUAAGGGACGAUAAGACCCUAUAAAUCUUUACAUUGAAUUAAGAUUUUUUUAUAAAAUCAUAAAAUUUAAUAAUGUUAUGUUGGGGCAACAAAAAUAUAAAAAAUAACUGUUAUAUAAAUUAUACAUUUAUUUAUGAAUAGAUAAAAGAUCCUUUAAAGAGAUUAAAAGUUUAAGUUACUUUAGGGAUAACAGCGUUAUUUUUUUUGAGAGUUCUCAUUAAAAAAAAAGUUUGCGACCUCGAUGUUGAAUUAAAAUUUCUCUGUGGUGCAGAAGUUACAAGAGAGAGUCUGUUCGACUUUUAAAAUUUU